GGCAGAUAAGUGCGGUGGAUUUAAGCUCCACAAAUAAAGUUUUUAACUUUCA
rnacentral:tRNA from 1 species